rnacentral:antisense_RNA from 1 species
CUUUGUGAUAGUCUGAGGUCCAAGAAGGGAUUAAAACCAGGAACUGGCUCCUUUUCCAACCACUAAAGCCUCAUCUGGGCCCACAAGCCCUGGCUGUUCCCUGGAGCGUGACUGGAAGAUGUGAGCAGCUUUGUGCUGGAGCCCCAUUUCCAUGGUGCAUGCUGCUGCCAAACCAGAGAUCACUUGUAGACUUGAAAGGGAACAUGAGC